rnacentral:rRNA from 1 species
GACGUAGGGCGCGAGCGUUGUCCGGAUUUAUUGGGCGUAAAGAGCUCGUAGGCGGCUUGUCGCGUCGACUGUGAAAACCCGCGGCUUAACUGCGGGACUGCAGUCGAUACGGGCAGGCUAGAGUUCGGUAGGGGAGACUGGAAUUCCUGGUGUAGCGGUGAAAUGCGCAGAUAUCAGGAGGAACACCGGUGGCGAAGGCGGAUCUCUGGGCCGAUACUGACGCUGAGGAGCGAAAGCGUGGGGAGCGAACAGG